rnacentral:lncRNA from 1 species
CUCAAAGCUUGCGGUGUGAAACUGUAGCUUACUGACAAUGAGUCUUGCUUAAGGAUCUUUGAAGGAUUUAUAGGGAAAUGUGAUUUGGAAGAAGCAGAGGAUGGCACUGUUGGACAAAAAUUAUGAGGCAAUACAUCCUGCAAAUCUUGAAUUACAGCACUGCACAACCUUACAGAAAUUGUAUCAGAUGUCUUACAAGAUGCAUAAUCAGGAUAAAGGUUUACGGUGUGUUUUCGAUCAUCAAAAUUUUGCUUGAAGUCAGCAGUCAGCAAUGCAGAGGAUCUAUGUUAAAUCUAUUGUGCAAAUAAAAUGACAGGAAACUCUGAAGCUUGUUACCCAACUGUCUUCAGUCCCUUUAAGAUGGUACCCCUACAAAUGUGAACACAGCAUGACUGAGAAGAUCCUGUUUGUGGUCCUUGACUCAACCUUGGAUUAUUUAUUACUCAAGGAAAUUUUGUACAGGCAAAUCCACAGUACUUACUCAGCUCCAGACCCCAAAACUUAUUGCCCUGAAGGAGCUGCCUUCAGUAUUUGGAGACUGGGAUUUGAGAGUAUCCAAGGGGUCUUCGUGGGAAGAGAAAACAAUACAGACAGAUGGGGAUGGAGAAAGACUCCCACUUCCUCAGGGGGUUGUUGAACCUCUGUGUUAGAAGCCUUUCCCUUCUUCUCUGCAUAUAUAAAAAAACCUUCUGAUUAUCCAUCUAGGUCCUUUGAGACCAGAAAUAUUUUUCUAAUUCAGGAGCUGAAACAUCAAUGUGAUGUAAGAUGACCCCCAUGGCAGGGGCCACAUUGAUGCAGUUAUGAGCAGACAGACCCCUCAGUGAGUUGUUCACAACAUUGGCAAAAUAUUAGGGCAAACAAACAAAAAGAUAGAAAAAGUUAAUUUGUUAGCAAAAUAGCUAAUAGAGACACCAUGUACCUUUUACAUUUGACUAUAAUGUGUAUUAUAUGAAGAUGAUAAUAAGAUAUGGAUCAUAGUAAAACCAAGUAAGGCCCCAGAUAUGAUGACAUUUCUCCCUAGAUUUUACAAUGUACAAAGCAAUAGAGCCACUUAGUUUAGAGGUGCUGUCAUUGGAAGAUGUUUAAUAUAUAACCAAACUCAGUUUGAAUAGAUAUUAUGAAGAGCUGAUAGUGUAAUGUCAGCAUAGAGAGCUAAGCAUUUCAGUAAAUGUAUGUGGAUGGGUCAACAAGGUAUACUUCAUAAACCUGUUUUCAGCUAUUAACUUCUGCUCAUGGAGAAUUUCCUGCUGUUUAUAUCACUGCCAAAGCUUGCUCCAUAACUGUUAUGAAAGAAAUUUUUGCUAUUGUUAUCAGCACUUCAACAUAGUCACAAUAAUGGCCUUGUGUGCAGGAGAUACUAGUGCAGUAUGUAAAAUACUUUUUUAAAUUAUUAUUUUUAUUGGUGCUUUAUGUUGAAAAUAUAGGAAAAAUAAUUGCACCACUGAAAUUUGUGAUAUACAGUUAUGAUACUUUUAAUUAAAAGGAAAAGAAAAAGACACCAGGUAAUAGGAUAUUAUUUUCUCCCCUUCUAAUGGCAUUUAAAAUGAAAAUUUAAAUGAAAAUUUUAAAACUGAGAACUGAAGCACAAUAUCACUUAAUAGGAAUUGUCUGUCAUAUAUUAAGAAAUAUAUUGGCAAAAAAAUGCAGUACCAUUUUCAGAUUAUUUAUUUAUUUUAUAAUACUUAACACAGCACUAGACAAGAGCCAUAACAGAGAUAUAACAGGGAUUAUGAAAUAAAAGUGGAAAAAAAAAUAGGCUCA